AUGAACCUCGAAUAUUUAGGCUUGUAUCAGAACCAAAUUUCAGGAUCAAUACCAAAAACUUUUGGGAAGCUGCAAAGGAUUAGAAAACUGCAAAUCUUUAAUAACAAUUUAUCAGGUUCUCUUCCUCAACAAUUUGGAGAUCUCAUCAGCCUUGUUGAAUUUGGGGUGUCUAAAAACUCACUUUCAGGACCAUUACCUGCAAAUAUAUGUUCAGGUGGCAAACUUGAAUAUUUCGAUGUUUCUUCCAAUAUGUUUGAUGGCCCCAUUCCCAGUAGUUUAAAGACUUGCACGGGUUUGAAACAAGUUUACCUUGAGUUGAACCAACUAUCAGGUGAUAUAUCUCAGUAUUUUGGUGUGUAUCCACGACUCAUGACGAUGUCCUUGACAUCGAACAGAUUCUCUGGGCAGAUCUCACUCAAUUUUGGUGCAUGUACCCAACUAAUGGUCCUACAUCUAGCACAAAAUAUGCUCAUGGGUUCCAUUCCACCGAUCCUUUCUAAAUUAUCCAACCUAGAAGAACUAGCACUCGAUUCUAAUCAUCUCCAUGGUGCGAUUCCACCAGAAAUCUGUAGUUUAAAUAAUCUAUAUAGACUGAACUUAUCAUCAAACCAAUUAUCUGGAACCAUACCCACACAGAUAGAAAAGCUACGCAAUCUACAAUACCUUGAUAUAUCUGGGAACAGACUGAGUGGAAUAAUACCUGAGGAACUAGGGACCAGCAUGAAACUACUGUCCUUGAAGAUCAACAACAACAACUUCAGUGGAAGUUUGCCAGGUGCGAUUGGAAAUUUAGCAGGCCUGCAGAUCAUGUUAGAUGUGAGCAACAAUAACUUAACUGGCAUGUUACCGCAGCAACUUGGGAAGUUGGAGAUGCUAGAAUUUUUUAAUUUAUCACACAAUCAGUUCAGUGGCAGCAUUCCGUCGUCCUUUGCAAGCAUGGUGAGCCUUUCAACAGUUGAUGUGUCCUACAAUGACUUGGAAGGACCGGUCCCAACAGCAUGGCUACUCCAAAAUGCUUCAGCAAGUUGGUUUCUUCCCAAUAAAGGUCUAUGUGGUAACCUCUCUGGCCUGCCACCUUGUUAUUCAACUCCAGUAGCUGCUCACAAAAAGGGGAAGAUACUUGGUUUGCUUUUGCCAAUUGUUCUUGUGAUGGGUUUCAUCAUUGUUGCUGCAAUUGUUGUCAUAAUAAUACUUACUCGUAAGAAGAGAAAUCCACAAGAAAGUGUUACUGCUGAAGCAAGGGACCUAUUCUCUGUUUGGAAUUUCGACGGAAGAUUAGCAUUUGAUGAUAUUGUAAGGGCGACCGAAAACUUCGAUGAUAAGUACAUCAUUGGAACAGGAGGAUGCGGCAAAGUGUACAAGGCACAACUCCAAGAUGGGCAGCUAGUUGCUGUGAAGAAGCUUCAUCAGACAGAAGAAGAGUUGGAUGAUGAAAGAUGGUUUCGCAGUGAAAUGGAAAUCUUAUUACAGAUCCGCCAAAGAAGCAUUGUCAAAAUGUAUGGAUUCUGCUCCCAUUCAGCAUAUAAAUUUCUUGUCUACGACUACAUUCAGCAGGGAAGCCUCCACCGAACAUUGGAAAAUGAUGAGCUAGCGAAGGAAUUGGAUUGGCAGAAGAGAAUUGUUGCUGUAAAUGAUGUGGCUCAAGCAAUAUCUUAUUUGCACCACGAGUGCAAUCCACCUAUAAUCCAUCGAGAUAUAACGAGCAACAACAUCUUACUUGAUGCAACCUUCAAGGCUUUCGUCUCGGAUUUCGGCACAGCAAGGAUUCUUAAGCCUGAUUCAUCAAACUGGAGUGCACUAGCGGGGACGUAUGGGUACAUAGCUCCUGGUAUGUACUAG
rnacentral:rRNA from 1 species